rnacentral:rRNA from 1 species
CCUGACGACCAUAGCGAGCGGGUCCCACCUGACCCCAUGCCGAACUCAGCAGUGAAACCGCUCAGCGCCGAUGGUAGUGUGGGGCCUCCCCAUGCGAGAGUAGGUCAUCGUCAGGCACUUAUCCCGAAAAUCCCGAGUACGAAAGUGCUCGGGAUUUUUUUAUGGGCAUGGGGAGUCCCGCUGUUUACCUGGUGGGGCCGCUUCGCGGGCCGGCCCCUCGCCGGCUCGGGGCGUUCGACCGCCCUCGUGGCGGUGCCACGAAGGGCCGGGCGGUCUCACCCCCAUGCGAGAGUAGCGGAACGCCGCCCGGGACAUCGUCAGGCAUUUCUUCCGAACCCCGGCCA